GAUGAACGCUGGCGGCGUGCCUAAUACAUGCAAGUCGAGCGAACAGACGAGGAGCUUGCUCCUCUGACGUUAGCGGCGGACGGGUGAGUAACACGUGGAUAACCUACCUAUAAGACUGGGAUAACUUCGGGAAACCGGAGCUAAUACCGGAUAAUAUAUUGAACCGCAUGGUUCAAUGGUGAAAGACGGUUUUGCUGUCACUUAUAGAUGGAUCCGCGCCGCAUUAGCUAGUUGGUAAGGUAACGGCUUACCAAGGCAACGAUGCGUAGCCGACCUGAGAGGGUGAUCGGCCACACUGGAACUGAGACACGGUCCAGACUCCUACGGGAGGCAGCAGUAGGGAAUCGUCCGCAAUGGGCGAAAGCCUGACGGAGCAACGCCGCGUGAGUGAUGAAGGUCUUCGGAUCGUAAAACUCUGUUAUUAGGGAAGAACAAAUGUGUAAGUAACUAUGCACGUCUUGACGGUACCUAAUCAGAAAGCCACGGCUAACUACGUG
rnacentral:rRNA from 1 species